CUCUUCCUGUUGUUUUGAUUUGAAGUAUGACCUGCCCACUGAUGUUAUUGAAGGGCCGCGGUAUUUUGACCGUGCAAAGGUAGCAUAAUCAUUAGUUCUUUAAUUGUGAACUGGUAUGAAUGGUUUGACGAGAUAUUGGCUGUCUUUGAUUUAAAAUUAUUGAAUUUGUUGUUUGGGUAAAAAUACCUAAAUUUUUUUGUGGGACGAGAAGACCCUAUAGAGUUUUAUAUAAUGUGUUCUUUUUGGUUUGUUUAUUGUUUUAUGAAGUAUUUAUAUUUUGUUGGGGUGAUGGGAAGAUAAGUUUAACUCUUCUUUUUUGUUUUCACUUAUUUGUGUUUUUAUGAUCCUUUAUUAUUGAUUAUAAGAUCAAAUUACC
rnacentral:rRNA from 1 species